UGUUGUUCAGCUCCCACCUAUGAGUGAGAACAUGUGGUGUUUGGUUUUCUGUCCUUGUAAUAGUUUGCUUAGAAUGAUGGUUUCCAGCUUCAUCCAUGUCUCUGCAAAGGACAUGAACUCAUCCUUUUUUAUGGCUGCAUCUUAUUCUUCUUUCUUUGUCUUUGUUGGAUUGGGUUAAUCUGAGGACCUUGUCUUUGAGCUCUAAAGUUCUUUCUUCUACUUGUUCAAUUCUAUUGCUGAGACUUUCCACUCCUUGGAGGUUUAACUCCAAAGAAGUAUGCUUCCAGCUGCAGGCUACUUGAAUUUGGAUAAGGAGUUAUAUUGGAAUAGGGUGCUAUAUUCUGAUUAUUAACAACAUAAUCAAUUUUCAUUAUCCGUGAGCUCAAAAUAAGGUGAGUUGUACCAUUUUUUUAAAUUCCUAAAGUCACUUGCUUCAGUAUGCUUCAGAACACAAAACCCACAUUCUCUCACACUUACCACAUUGUAUUUCUUCCAAUCCUAUUUUGAAGACCAUGAUUCCUGGGCAAUGUGGAGCAGAGACUAGAAAACUGCAUGUAAUGUGCAAAGCCAGUGAUUCACGUGCAGAUGCUCAAGAACUUAUGUAUCAAUCCUAUCUGAAGACUUCAGCUCAACAUCAAUUUAUUUCUGCACACCCUUUGGCCUAGCAAUUUCAUUUGUAGAAAUCCAUUCUACAAAACACAUUUUUGUAUGCAAAUAUGUAUGUUGCAAAAAUGUUCAUGAAAUCAUUUUAAUAGCAAAGAACUGGAAACUAUAAAUCCAUUUUACAAGACCAUGAUUGCAUAAAUUAUGGUACAUUUACAUAAUGGGAUCCAAUGGAGCUAAUACCUCUGUAUACUUUUCACAGAGAUCGCUAAAACAGCAUUAAAAAAAAAACAGAACUGUGGACUGUGUUAUGGGUAAUGAUUUGGCAAUGUAGGUUCAUCAGCUGUAGCAAAGGUGGAGAAUGUUAGUGAUGGAGAUGCUAUGUUGGUGUGGGGGCAGGGCACACAGGGGAAAUCUCUGUACCUUCUACUCAAUUUUACUGCAAAUCUAAAACUGCUUUAAUAAAUAGUUUUAAAAAGGAAAGAAAAAAGAACAUUACAAAGGAUUACAUAAAGUGAGAACCCAUUUAGGUAGAUAUGAAGCAAACGUAGAGAUGUGUGUAUGGGAAUAUAUAUACACAGAUGCAUACAAAGGGAACUGGAAGUUUAAAAGACACACCAAGUGGUGCAGCUCUGCCUCUUGGAAACAGGACAGGGACAGGGAAGAAGACACGGUGAAAAAAAUAAUUUAACAUUUUACUUCCUACACUUUUACGACAGUUGAAUGUUGUACAGAGUUACUGCAGUCCUGUAUUCCUUAUGCAGGGGAAGAAAACACCACAGGAUAAAGAUGAACAAUCAAAAAAAUGAUGAGACCAAAGAUGAGCCAAGUGCCAAUCAUCUUUAAGUCAAAUACUGUGUCGUGGAACAAUCUAGCUCAUAUAAUGUCUUAAACCUUAGAUAUUCUAUUGGUUCAUCAAAAGCCUAAUAAAGGCCAGGCGUGGUGGUUCACACCUGUAAUCCCAGCACUUUGGGAGGCCGAGGCAGGCAGAUCAUCUAAGGUCAGGAGUUCGAGACCAGCCCGGCCAACAUGAUGAAACCCCCAUCUCUACUAAAAAUACAAAAAUUAGCCAGGCAUGGUGGCAGGCGCCUAUAAUCCCAGCUACUUGGGAGGCUGAGGCAGGAGAAUUGCUUGAACUCGGGAGGCAGAAGUUGCAGUGAACUGAGAUCACGCCACUGCACUCCAGCCUGGAUGACAAGAGCAAAACUCCGUCUCAGGAAAAAAAAAAAAAAGGCCUAAUAUAGAGUCCUACAAAUGUUGCUAAGAAAGUAAAUAGAACAGGAUUGCUUUAAUUCUUAUGAUUAAACUAAAAACAAAAAUGCUGAAACCUUAGUAUAACUUUAAAUUAUAUAUCAUUUAUUGAAAUAUAAAGAUCUUCAUUUACACGUUUUAAAACAAAAACAUGAACAGGGGCAUUCGUAAUACAUUUUGUAUUGGUAGACCCUAUCAAGUUAGUUUUUCUCACACAUUCACCACACCAUUGUUUUGGGAACAUGUAAGUAUCUUUCUUUUUAUUAUUUCUAAAAUAUAAAUUUUGGACAUUCAAAAGUGCAACAGUUAAUGUGCCUGUGGGGAUUAUCACAGUUAAAAAAAUAUAAACGAAGGCAGUGA
rnacentral:lncRNA from 10 species